AGGAGAAUAGUUAAAAAAUAACAAUUUCUUUGCAAGAAAAAAUUACUGAAAUUUAUCAAUUUCUCUUA
rnacentral:tRNA from 1 species